CUACGGGCUGCUCCAGUGGGGAAUAUUGCACAAUGGGCGCAAGCCUGAUGCAGCAACGCCGCGUGAGUGAAGAAGGUUUUCGGAUCGUAAAGCUCUGUCCUUGAGGAAGAAAAUUGACGGUACUCAAGGAGGAAGCCCCGGCUAACUACGUGCCAGCAGCCGCGGUAAUACGUAGGGGGCAAGCGUUAUCCGGAAUCACUGGGCGUAAAGGGUGCGUAGGCGGUCUGUCAAGUCAGAGUUGAAAGGCUAUGGCUCAACCAUAGUAAGGCUUUGAAACUGAUAGACUUGAGUACAGGAGAGGUAAGUGAAAUUCCUAGUGUAGCGGUGAAAUGCGUAGAGAUUAGGAGGAACACCAGUGGCGAAGGCGACUUACUGGACUGUAACUGACGCUGAGGCACGAAAGCGUGGGUAGCGAACAGGAUUAGAUACCCGCGUAGUC
rnacentral:rRNA from 1 species